UACAGAGGGUGCGAGCGUUAAUCGGAAUUACUGGGCGUAAAGCGCACGUAGGCGGCUUUGCAAGUCGGGUGUGAAAUCCCCGGGCUCAACCUGGGAACUGCAUCCGAGACUGCUUUGCUCGAGUAUGGGAGAGGGAAGUGGAAUUUCCGGUGUAGCGGUGAAAUGCGUAGAUAUCGGAAGGAACAUCAGUGGCGAAGGCGACUUCCUGGACCAAUACUGACGCUCAGGUGCGACAGCGUGGGGAGCAAACAGG
rnacentral:rRNA from 1 species